AUGAUCAUACUUCAUAGGAUCAAUUCUAUAGUAUGACUGCCGAGUUCCUUGUCCGAAACUCUGAAGAAAUCACACCGCGAUGAUGUAGCUAAGUGUGAGCCUCUGAGCGGGAAGCUGUUCAAGACUUAAGUCUUGGACAUUGAUGACCGUUCCCUCCUGUGUUAACGGGAGUGGAGGAGGCUCGCACAGGCUGAGCGGU
rnacentral:snoRNA from 1 species